UACGUAGGUGGCAAGCGUUGUCCGGAUUUACUGGGCGUAAAGGAUGCGUAGGCGGAUAUUUAAGUCAGAUGUGAAAUACCCGAGCUUAACUUGGGUGCUGCAUUUGAAACUGGGUGUCUAGAGUGCAGGAGAGGUAAGUGGAAUUCCUAGUGUAGCGGUGAAAUGCGUAGAGAUUAGGAAGAACACCAGUGGCGAAGGCGACUACCUGGCCUGUUCUUGACGCUGAGGCGCGAAAGCUAGGGGAGCAAACGGG
rnacentral:rRNA from 1 species